AACGAACGCUGGCGGCAUGCCUAACACAUGCAAGUCGAACGAGACCUUCGGGUCUAGUGGCGCACGGGUGCGUAACGCGUGGGAAUCUGCCCUUCGGUUCGGAAUAACUCAGGGAAACUUGAGCUAAUACCGGAUGAUGUCUUCGGACCAAAGAUUUAUCGCCGAGGGAUGAGCCCGCGUGAGAUUAGGUAGUUGGUGGGGUAAUGGCCCACCAAGCCGACGAUCCUUAGCUGGUCUGAGAGGAUGAUCAGCCACACUGGGACUGAGACACGGACCAGACUCCUGCGGGAGGCAGCAGUGGGGAAUAUUGGAGAAUGGGCGAAAGCCUGAUCCAGCAAUGCCGCGUGAGUGAUGAAGGCCUUAGGGUUGUAAAGCUCUUUUACCAGGGAUGAUAAUGACAGUACCUGGAGAAUAAGCUCCGGCUAACUCCGUGCCAGCAGCCGCAGUAA
rnacentral:rRNA from 1 species